AUACGUAGGUGGCAAGCGUUGUCCGGAAUUAUUGGGCGUAAAGCGCAUGUAGGCGGUUUGGUAAGUCGGUUGUGAAAAUGCGGUGCUUAACGCCGUAUGGCGAUUCAAAAUGGUGAACUUUGGGGCAGGGGGAGAAAGGGGGACUCCCAGGGUAGAGGGGAAAAGGGUAGAUAUUGGGAAGAACACCGGUGGCGAAGGCGCCUUUCUGGACUGUGUCUGACGCUCAGAUGCGAAAGCCAGGGUAGCGAACGGGAUUAGAUACCCCGGUAGUCCUGGCCGUAAACGAUGGGUACUAGGUGUGGGAGGUAUCGACUCCUUCCGUGCCGGAGUUAACGCAAUAAGUACCCCGCCUGGGGAGUACGGCCGCAAGGCUUAAACUCAAAGGAAUUGACGGGG
rnacentral:rRNA from 1 species